GCAGUCNANGGUAGGNCCUUCGGGGUACACGAGUGGCGAACGGGUGAGUAACACGUGGGUAAUCUGCCCUGCACAUCGGGAUAAGCCUGGGAAACUGGGUCUAAUACCGGAUAGGACCACAGAACACAUGUCCUGUGGUGGAAAGCUUUUGCGGUGUGGGAUGGGCCCGCGGCCUAUCAGCUUGUUGGUGGGGUGAUGGCCUACCAAGGCGACGACGGGUAGCCGGCCUGAGAGGGUGUCCGGCCACACUGGGACUGAGAUACGGCCCAGACUCCUACGGGAGGCAGCAGUGGGGAAUAUUGCACAAUGGGCGAAAGCCUGAUGCAGCGACGCCGCGUGGGGGAUGACGGCCUUCGGGUUGUAAACCUCUUUCACCAUCGACGAAGGUCCGGGUUUUCUCGGAUUGACGGUAGGUGGAGAAGAAGCACCGGCCCAACUACGUGCCAGCAGCCGCGGUAAUACGUAGGGUGCGAGCGUUGUCCGGAAAUUACUGGGCGUAAAGAGCUCGUAGGUGGUUUGUCGCGUUGUUCGUGAAAUCUCACGGCUUAACUGUGAGCGUGCGGGCGAUACGGGCAGACUUGAGUACUGCAGGGGAGACUGGAAUUCCUGGUGUAGCGGUGGAAUGCGCAGAUAUCAGGAGGAACACCGGUGGCGAAGGCGGGUCUCUGGGCAGUAACUGACGCUGAGGAGCGAAAGCGUGGGGAGCGAACAGGAUUAGAUACCCUGGUAGUCCACGCCGUAAACGGUGGGUACUAGGUGUGGGUUUCCUUCCUUGGGAUCCGUGCCGUAGCUAACGCAUUAAGUACCCCGCCUGGGGAGUACGGCCGCAAGGCUAAAACUCAAAGAAAUUGACGGGGGCCCGCACAAGCGGCGGAGCAUGUGGAUUAAUUCGAUGCAACGCGAAGAACCUUACCUGGGUUUGACAUGCACAGGACGCCGGCAGAGAUGUCGGUUCCCUUGUGGCCUGUGUGCAGGUGGUGCAUGGCUGUCGUCAGCUCGUGUCGUGAGAUGUUGGGUUAAGUCCCGCAACGAGCGCAACCCUUGUCUCAUGUUGCCAGCGGGUAAUGCCGGGGACUCGUGAGAGACUGCCGGGGUCAACUCGGAGGAAGGUGGGGAUGACGUCAAGUCAUCAUGCCCCUUAUGUCCAGGGCUUCACACAUGCUACAAUGGCCGGUACAAAGGGCUGCGAUGCCGCGAGGUUAAGCGAAUCCUUUUAAAGCCGGUCUCAGUUCGGAUCGGGGUCUGCAACUCGACCCCGUGAAGUCGGAGUCUGCUAGUAAUCGCAGAUCAGCAACGCUGCGGUGAAUACGUUCCCGGGCCUUGUACACACCGCCCGUCACGUCAUGAAAGUCGGUAACACCCGAAGCCAGG
rnacentral:rRNA from 1 species